AAGGGACCACUACAAUCUUCUCUAAUUGAAGAUACUGGUGAUUCUACUUUUUGCAUAAAGGGCGGGUUCUAGGAAAUAUAUUCUAGGAAAUAUAUGCUUUGGAUCAGUUAUUGUCAUGUUGGGUCAGGAUGCAGGACUAGUUGACCGAGGAUCACUAACCAAGAGUCAUGUACCAGAUGCAUCAGACUUAUGCACCAGAUGCACCAGACUUAUGCACAAGAUGCACCAGACUUGUGUACAAGAUCACGCACAGAUGCACCAGAUUUCCUGCAUCAUUCAUUGGCUGUGACAAAGCCUCAUGCACCAGUUUGUGCAUAGGCCUUGGCGAAUUAUGAACCAAAAUUGCUUCUCAUGGGACUUCAUUAGACCAUUAUUUAACAACUUGGCCAAGG
rnacentral:lncRNA from 1 species